AGAUGGCUUGAGAAACCCUGGGAAGAAGAUGACUGCCAUAAUCCAGGCUUGUGUUUAGUGAUUGUGUCUUCAAUCAGUUCUUUGUUGGAGUUCUCACUGUGUUCCUCCAUUUUCUUCCCCUGAGUUCAGAGAUAAUUUUUAUGACCAUUGCUUUGAACUCAUUUUCAGCAAAUACAACUAGCCGCUGGCUGCCUGGUUUGUGCCAUUUUCACGUGGCUGACUUUCCUGGAACUGUGGACCCAUCCGGCAGAUGCAGUCUGAGUCAUCCAAGUGGUGAGUCUGAGGGCUGGGCACACUCUUGAAGCUCUCCUGCAGGUUCUCACCUGAUGGCAUGAAGCUCCUGGGACAAGGUCAUUGU